CCAAUAGCGUAUAUUAAAGUUGUUGCAGUUAAAAAGCUCGUAGUUGAAUUUCGGGGUUAGCAAGUUGGUCGUGCCUUCGGUAUGCACUGGCUUUGCUGAUUCCUCCUUCUUGAAGAACUGUGAUGCUAUUAAUUUGGUGUUGCAGGGAAACAGGACUGUUACUUUGAAAAAAUUAGAGUGUUUAAAGCAGGCUAUGGCUUGAAUACAUUAGCAUGGAAUAAUGAAAUAGGACGUUUGAUCCUAUUUUGUUGGUUUCUAGGAUUGACGUAAUGAUUAAUAGGGAUAGUUGAGGGCAUUAGUAUUCAAUUGUCAGAGGUGAAAUUCUUGGAUUUAUUGAAGACUAACUACUGCGAAAGCAUUUGCCAAGGAUGUUUUCAUUAAUCAAGAACGAAAGUUAGGGGAUCGAAGACGAUCAGAUACCGUCGUAGUCUUAACCAUAAACUAUGCCGACUAGGGAUCGGAUGAUGUUAAUUUUCUAAUGACUCAUUCGGCGCCUUACG
rnacentral:rRNA from 1 species